rnacentral:rRNA from 1 species
GACGAACGCUGGCGGCGUGCUUAGCACAUGCAAGUCGAACGGAAAGGCCCUGCUUUUGUGGGGUGCUCGAGUGGCGAACGGGUGAGUAACACGUGAGUAACCUGCCCUUGACUUUGGGAUAACUUCAGGAAACUGGGGCUAAUACCGGAUAGGAGCUCCUGCUGCAUGGUGGGGGUUGGAAAGUUUCGGCGGUUGGGGAUGGACUCGCGGCUUAUCAGCUUGAUGGUGGGGUAGUGGCUUACCAAGGCUUUGACGGGUAGCCGGCCUGAGAGGGUGACCGGCCACAUUGGGACUGAGAUACGGCCCAGACUCCUACGGGAGGCAGCAGUGGGGAAUAUUGCACAAUGGGCGGAAGCCUGAUGCAGCAACGCCGCGUGCGGGAUGACGGCCUUCGGGUUGUAAACCGCUUUCGCCUGUGACGAAGCGUGAGUGACGGUAAUGGGUAAAGAAGCACCGGCUAACUACGUG